rnacentral:tRNA from 1 species
GGAGGGUAUAGCUCAGUGGUAGAGUGCAUGCUUAGCAUGCAUGAGGUCCUGGGUUCAAUCCCCAGUGCCUCCA